rnacentral:rRNA from 1 species
GACGAACGCUGGCGGCGUGGAUUAGGCAUGCAAGUCGAACGGUAUCAUCCUUUCGGGGGUGAGAGAGUGGCGAACUGGUGAGUAACACGUAGGUUAUCUACCCUCAAGACGGGGACAACCCAGGGAAACUUGGGCUAAUACCGGAUGUGAGCAACUUUUAGUUGUUUGAAAGGUGGCGUAAGCUGUCGCUUGGGGAUGAGCCUGCGUCCUAUUAGUUAGUUGGUGAGGUAACGGCUCACCUAGGCAAUGAUAGGUAGGCGGCCUUAACGGGUGGUCGCCCACACUGGGAUUGAGAUACGGGCCCAGACUCCUACGGGAGGCAGCAGUCGAGAAUAGUCUACAAUGGUCGGAAGACUGAUAGUGCGACGCCGCGUGAACGAUGAAUCCCUUCGGGGUGUAAAGUUCUUUUAUAUGUGAGCAGUGCUUCUUAUAUUAACAGUAUGGGGAGAGAGAUAUUAGCAUAUGAAUAAGCAACGGCUAACUCCGUGCCAGCAGCCGCGGUAAACUCGU